UUGAGUUGCGGAUACCUCUUGU
rnacentral:siRNA from 1 species